CCUACGGGAGGCAGCAGUGAGGGAUAUUGCACAAUGGGGGGAACCCUGAUGCAGCGACGCCGCGUGGGUGAAGGAGCGUUUCGGCGCGUAAAGCCCUAUCGGCAGGGAAGAAGAUGACGGUACCUGGCCAAGAAGCCCCGGCUAACUACGUGCCAGCAGCCGCGGUAAUACGUCGGGGGCAAGCGUUAUCCGGAUUUACUGGGUGUAAAGGGGGCGCAGACGGCAAUGCAAGCCAGGAGUGAAAGCCCGGGGCCCAACCCCUGGACUGCGCUUGGAACUGGAUGGCUGGAGUACAGGAGGGGCAGGCGGAAUGCCUAGUGUAGCGGUGAAAUGCGUAGAUAUUAGGAGGAACACCGGUGGCGAAGGCGGCCUGCUGGACUGUGACUGACGUUGAGGCCCGAAGGCGUGGGGAGCAAACAGGAUUAGAUACCCCAGUAGUC
rnacentral:rRNA from 1 species